rnacentral:misc_RNA from 1 species
GAGAGAGAGAAAUGAAUCAAAUAAAAACAUUAGAAAAAUGUAACAUAUGCCACAUGGCAAUCCAGUGUAAAAAGUCAAAAUUCUCAUAUUGAUUUUUAAAUUUUGGAUAAAAAUUCUUCAAUUUUAAAAGUUAUAAUUAAAUUUAAACUAAAAGUUUUGGAUAUAAUCAGUAAUCAAGGUAAAUGUGUGGAUUUAUUUAGCCCAAAGACCUAUUUUAAAUUGUAA